rnacentral:rRNA from 1 species
AGUGAACGCUGGCGGUAGGCCUAACACAUGCAAGUCGAACGGCAGCACAGUAAGAGCUUGCUCUUACGGGUGGCGAGUGGCGGACGGGUGAGGAAUACAUCGGAAUCUACUUUUUCGUGGGGGAUAACGUAGGGAAACUUACGCUAAUACCGCAUACGACCUACGGGUGAAAGCAGUGGAUCUUCGGACCUUGCGCGAUUGAAUUAGCCGAUGUCGGAUUAGCUAGUUGGCGGGGUAAGGGCCCACCAAGGCGACGAUCCGUAGCUGGGCUGAGAGGAUGAUCAGCCACACUGGAACUGAGACACGGUCCAGACUCCUACGGGAGGCAGCAGUGGGGAAUAUUGGACAAUGGGCGAAAGCCUGAUCCAGCCAUACCGCGUGGGUGAAGAAGGCCUUCGGGUUGUAAAGCCCUUUUGUUGGGAAAGAAAAGCAGCAGGUUAAUACAUCGCUGUUCUGACGGUACCCAAAGAAUAAGCACCGGCUAACUUCGUG